CUAUUUAUUUAUUUAUUUAUUUAUUUAUUUAUAUGAAUUCAUUUAUUUAUUUACUUCAAUAUAUUUUAUAAUUAACAACAUUGUUCCCAUUUAGGUCAAUCAACUAAUACCUACGCUCUAAUUCUCAAUCAGAAAAAAUCAAAUAUUGCCAAAUUUAUAAUUAGACCAAGGCUUCCAGUCCCCCGCGAAAAAUUAAUAUCCGUAUUAGUUGCUCAAAAGGCAGGGUACCAUGGGGUGCCACCCACUCAUUGUAGCUGGUUUUAGUUUGUUCAGUAGAUUUAGUAAAUCCCUCCAUCCCUGCGUCUUCGUCCUCAACUCCUUCUUCGCCUUCUCCUUCGUCGUCUUCUUCGAAUUCGUCCUCAACUUCUUCCUUCAUUUCAUCAUCUUCAACAAUCUUAAGAUCUAACUCUUCAACACUUUCUUCUGCGAUGUACU